rnacentral:rRNA from 1 species
ACUCAAAUGAAUUGACGGGGGCCCGCACAAGCGGUGGAGCAUGUGGUUCAAUUCGACGCAACGCGAAGAACCUUACCCAGGCUUGAACAGCGAGUGACCAUCUCCGAAAGGGGACUUCCGCAAGGACACUCGUAGAGGUGCUGCAUGGCUGUCGUCAGCUCGUGUCGUGAGAUGUUGGGUUAAGUCCCGCAACGAGCGCAACCCUUGUCUGCUGUUGCCAUCACGUUAUGGUGGGCACUCUGCAGAGACUGCCGGUGAUAAACCGGAGGAAGGUGGGGAUGACGUCAAGUCAGCAUGGCCUUUAUGUCUGGGGCUACACACGUGCUACAAUGGCCGGCACAAACCGUCGCGAUACCGCAAGGUGGAGCUAAUCGGAUAAAGUCGGUCUCAGUUCGGAUAGCAGGCUGCAACUCGCCUGCUUGAAGUUGGAAUCGCUAGUAAUCGCGGAUCAGCACGCCGCGGUGAAUACGUUCCCGGGCCUUGCACACACCGCCCGU